CCGAACUCAUUUGGGUUGAAAACCGAUGGGAUGAGCUGUGUGGGGGAGUGAAAGUCUAAUCAAACGUGGAGAUAGCUCGUUCUCUCCGAAAUAACUUUAGGGUUAGCGUUCGGAUAGUUGACGUGGGGGUAGAGCGACUGAUUUCGAACGGGGGCCUACCCGGCUACCCGUCGAAGCCAAACUCCGAAUACCAGCUGUACCAGUCCGGGCAGCUAGACGGUGGGGGAUAAGCUUCAUCGUCGAGAGGGGAACAACCCAGAUCACCCGCUAAGGUCCCAGAGUCGUGCUCAGUGCGAAAGGAAGUUGGACUCCGGAGACAGCCAGGAUGUUGGCUUAGAAGCAGCCACCAUUUAAACAACGCGUAAUAGCGGACUGGUCGAGGAGUCCUGCGCCGAUAAUGAACGGGACUCAAGUACGACACCGAAGCGGUGGGAGCGUAAGCUCGGUAGGAGAGCGUUGCGUGUGCGGCGAAGGGGUACGGGCGAACGAGCCCUGGAGCGCACGCAAGUGAUUAUGCCGGAAUGAGUAGACGAUAAAACGGGUGAGAAUCCCGUUCGCCGUAAGCCUAAGGUUU
rnacentral:ncRNA from 1 species